GGUGCGAGCGUUGUCCGGAAUUAUUGGGCGUAAAGAGCUCGUAGGCGGCUUGUCGCGUCGGAUGUGAAAGCCCGGGGCUUAACUCCGGGUCUGCAUUCGAUACGGGCAGGCUGGAGUGCGGUAGGGGAGAUCGGAAUUCCUGGUGUAGCGGUGAAAUGCGCAGAUAUCAGGAGGAACACCGGUGGCGAAGGCGGGACUCUGGGCCGAUACUGACGCUGAGGAGCGAAAGCGUGGGGAGCAAACAGG
rnacentral:rRNA from 1 species